GCCACCGUGGCUCAGUUGGUAGAGCAGCUGAUUCGUAAUCAGCAGGUCGGGGGUCCGAAUCCCUCCGGUGGCU
rnacentral:tRNA from 1 species